rnacentral:rRNA from 1 species
UACAUGGGGUGCAAACGUUGCUCGGAAUUAUUGGGCGUAAAGCGCGCGUAGGCGGUCUGUUAAGUUCGGUGUGAAAUCCCCCUGGCUCAACUGGGGGAACUGCGCUGAAAAACUGGCGGACUCGAGUACCGGAGAGGAGAGUGGAAUUCCUGGUGUAGCGGUGAAAUGCGUAGAUAUCAGGAGGAACACCGGUGGCGAAGGCGGCUCUCUGGACGGAUACUGACGCUGAGGCGCGAAAGCGUGGGGAUCAAACAGG